rnacentral:rRNA from 1 species
CCUACGGGUGGCAGCAGUAGAGAAUAUUGCUCAAUGGGGGAAACCCUGAAGCAGCAACGCCGCGUGGAGGAUGAAGGUUUUCGGAUUGUAAACUCCUUUUGUUAGAGAAGAUAAUGACGUUAUCUAACGAAUAAGCACCGGCUAACUCCGUGCCAGCAGCCGCGGUAAUACGGAGGGUGCACGCGUUACUCGGAUUCACUGGGCGGAAAGAGCGCGUAGGCGGGAUAGCAAGUCAGAUGUGAAAUCCUAUGGCUUAACCAUAGAACUGCAUUUGAAACUGUUAUUCUAGAGUAUGGGAGAGGUAGGUGGAAUUCUUGGUGUAGGGGUAAAAUCCGUAGAGAUCAAGAGGAAUACUCAUUGCGAAGGCGACCUGCUAGAACAUAACUGACGCUGAUGCGCGAAAGCGUGGGGAGCAAACAGGAUUAGAUACCCGAGUAGUC